ACGAACGACUAUUUAAGUUGAUCACAAAUUACAGUGCCAAUCAUAGUAUAGCGGAGCACGUGACGAUCGUAGAUCGUAGCCACGCCUUGUUCGCAUUUAUCUUUCGUGUUUCUUUCUCGCGGGGAACGCCAAUACUUCCGGCGAUUGCUUUACGGAAGACAGAUACAUACAUAGUACGCGAGUGCCAGCCAGCCGUACAAUUAAAUUUUACGUGAAUCGGCCAACCACGCGGAGUAUAUACGCUACUAUGCUAACAGGUGUGAUACGCUUGAAACUGUUAGAUACUAUUAUUAUAUCGUACGAACUAAUAUGGAGCCACGUGUUCCAAUUUUUAUUGAAUAUGGAAAUUCUCGAUAAGAAUACCGACUGAGUGUCAAUAGACUGAUAAAAGUGUCUGAUAAUAGCACCGAUUAUCGUUCGCGAUGAAUGCCACUCAUUCUCCGAUGUACCGGUCGACCAACGAAUCGCGUGUUACUUGAUAUAACAACAAAUUGAUAUAUGAAUUUUUAUGAGUACGUCGGUCUUUUCUGAAUGGUUUUUCUUUGUGUUCAUACUGAAUCUUUCGAACUAAUCGUGUUUUAAAUUCAAGCGAUUUUAAUUAACUGAACUUAUAUAACCAUAAGCUUGAAGUUAUUUAAGUUGACCAAACACUUUCGAUUCGAAUAACUCGACUAAUUUGAGCUAAAUUUCGUGUACUUUCUAAACCUGAACUACCUAAUCCUUUUACACAAUUACAAAGUAGAUCAUUCUUCUUAUAUUUACAUUUCCUUAACAAACAUUUUAUUUUGAACAAGCUGUACAAAACGCAAUGCGUCUCGUUUUGAUAAUGUUUUGCAAAGUAUGUAACUAAAAAUAUGUGGAUUUGCUAUCAAUUUGAGAAUUGGAAUAGUCACGACAUUUGAACGGGAUUUGUGUCAUAGUUCACGUGCACGCAACUCCGUGUGUAUGGGAGAAAGCCACAUUAUACGGUGUAUUUCACCGGUGUGUAAGCUCGGUUCCCCCAAGUUCAUUGUAACUUUGGUCGUGUCGUGUAUCACCUCCUAUCAACGUCACACCUCCCUACACGCAUCGCUCGUGAAUAUACUUCCUUGCUCUGGUUAACGGGUAUGCAUCGUUUGAGGCAAUAAUCCUAAAUACACGCUGGAAUCUAUACUUACAUUGGUUAAUCUACGUGUUAGCUAGUCUCCGCUACUAUGUAUAAUUUGAACCGAUUAGAAUGAUUGAAAUAUUCCUUUGAUUUCAUGUUGUCACAUAAAAUGGAAUAAUCUGUACAACACGUACGAAGAAAAUUUUAUAACGCGAAGAAUAGUUGUCGUUGCAGAAAGUUUUAAGAACGUAUGCAUAUAUGUAAUGUAUGUGGAUUGAAAUGCAGAAAAGAAAGCUCUGAUCGAUCAUUGGCAAGAGCUAGAAACGCAACCGGGCUAAUGGAUGUUUCGAAAAGCUGGCAUUUCUGUGACAAAGUGCAUAAUUGACCUAAUUGAUCGUAACAAGCGUUCGCCGGCAAAAUGACGAAAUCCCAAAGGUCUCGUAGAAGAUUCCAAAGACUAUAGAUUUUCGAUAAAAAGAACCAGCAGAUAAUUCAAAAAUUUAUCAAGUUCGACAAAUCACUGGAAAUUUCCUUGUUUGAUUGAAUCUACAGUACAAAGUAAGAGAGAGAAAGAGAGAGUGUGCAUGGCAAAGUACCAAGCGUGUGGCACACUUCGGGAAAGCACUUUAGCCUCAGGGUCGCGCAUGAAAGCGGGAAUGAUACGAUAAUGGAAAUAAAUUGCACGGUGUUAUUUAAAAUUUGUCAAUUAUUCUCGGUUUGGUGACAGCGUAAUUUUCUUAAUUUUCGCUCAACACCGAUUUCCAACGGAUUCUGCGCGUCUCGUAUCACGACUCACAAAAGAAUGGAUGAUACAUAGUCUUUCUGACGAAAUACGACACAUCGCACACAAAGAAUGUAUUCAAUCUUGACUCUAUCGAUUCCAUUUGUCUGUCAGAAUUUUUAGGUUACUUUAAUCGAAUAGUUUUUGGUAAACAGCGAUAUAUCAUUAUACAACCUAACAAAUUUUGUUACAAAUUUAGCACUAAAUGUAACAAACUUGUUGAAAUGGUAAGACUAUGGUCUUUGCAAUUACUAAAAAUAUACAGGUGUAUUUGAUAAAGUAUACAUAUUGAAUUUUACUAAGAUAGACACAGAAUUGUGACUAUAUGCUUAUUUAUUUUCAUCAAAUCGUCUCGAUCUAAAUUGUAUCUGUGUAGUAUAUCUUUUGUAGUAUACAGAUCAAUAGUUUUAGUUUAGUUUUUAAACACUGUUUCACAUGCUGUAAUAUUCAUGCAAUUUAAGAAAAACACUACGAUAGUAGAUAUAAACGUAUAUCGAAAAUUUCUACCAACCGGACCAAGCAGAUGUUUCCGUAUACUGUUGAUUGAAACAUAUAUAUAUGUAGAGUACGAAAUAUUUACGUAUCAAUAUCUUCGACAUUUUUAAUAACAUGUAUAACAGUGGAUAAAUGUUAUUCUUUCCAUUAUGUACUUUGACAUCACUGGAGAUUAUGUGAAUAAUACAUAUUCUUUUUACAAUAUCAACUUUUAUACAAAAAUUCAAUGAGACAUUCGUAAUAAAAUGACAGAAAUUUAAUCACUAUGUAACAGUCGGUAUAUACAUAUGUACUUCUGUAAAAUGAUAGUAAACAUUGGUAUUUAAAAACAUGCGUUCUAGUUCAUCGGCAUUAAGUUGAAAACUGUAUAAAUUUGUUACUAAUUUCAUGUCUAAUAUCUUAAAAUGAUUUAAUACUGUCGAAGAAAACCUUGUUACAGUGUGUCACGAAAGUAAUAAAUGAAAUCUGAAAACUAAUAAACUUACCUAUAGGAUAUAGACGCGAUCUUUUCUUAAAUAAUGCACCACGAUGAGAAAAUCGGAGAUAAAGAUAUAA